AGAAGUCCUACAUAAUGGGCAGAGACAUGGAACUCUCAGGAGACCCUGUCCUGUGUUCUACCACUUUGGCAGCAGCCUCCAGCAGUGGUGGUAAAACCUGCUUUUGAAGUGUGUGAGAGCACAAAGCCUCCCUUCUCCCUCUGCAGUCUGGCAGCUAUCAGUGUCAGCAGCAGCCUCAGAAGAGGACACAGAGACUUGGGGAAUGGGCUCCAAUGGUGAGAUUAUUCUGCACUUGCCUAGUCUUGAAGGCCUGUAAAACUUCACGUGACUUCAAGCAAUGCCUCUCUAUGAUCUACAGGCAGCUUCCUAUGGUGAUAUGGAGGCUUGUGGUGGACAAGGAGCUCCUGUAUAGCUAUGAUUAUAGAGAUCCAUCAUAAGAAUAUGGAACUCGAGGGGUCUCUCACUUAUUCCUUGCUUGGGUUCAGGGUCUGGGGGACUUCUGUGACCCUGGCCAAGCAGGCAGUCUCACUUCCUCUUCCUUCAUCUUCAGCAUCUGCCAUUGCCUCUCUGUUGAAUUGUGGUAUUAUAUUCUCAGAUGAUCUAUUCAGAGUAUGAAUAUUUACUUAAUUUUUCGGUUCCCUUCCAUGAAAGAGGUGAAAUGCAGCUGCAUUUAGUCAGCCAUCUUAAGGCUUGCCCAUUCAAUUAUUUAAAAAUAUUGACAAUGAGUUAGUAUUAGACAUCUGUGACAUAUGUAUUUAAUUGCAUUUAGAU
rnacentral:lncRNA from 1 species